rnacentral:rRNA from 1 species
AGCAGCCGCCGCGGGAAUACGUAGGGUGCGAGCGUUAAUCGGAAUUACUGGGCGUAAAGCGGGCGCAGACGGUUACUUAAGCAGGAUGUGGAAUCCCCUGGCUCAACCUGGGAACUGCGUUCUGAACUGGGUGACUAGAGUGUGUCAGAGGGAGGUGGAAUUCCACGUGUAGCAGUGAAAUGCGUAGAGAUGUGGAGGAAUACCGAUGGCGAAGGCAGCCUCCUGGGAUAACACUGACGUUCAUGCCCGAAAGCGUGGGUAGCAAACAGGAUUAGAUACCCCAGUAGUCCCUGUCUCUUAUAC